GACGAACGCUGGCGGCGUGCUUAACACAUGCAAGUCGAACGGAAAGGCCCUGCUUGUGUGGGGUGCUCGAGGGGCGAACGGGUGAGUAACAGGUGAGUAACCUGCUCUUGACUUUGGGAUAACUUCAGGAAACGGGGGCUAAUACCGGAUAGGAUCUCCUGUUGCAUGGUGGGGGUUGGAAAGUCUCGGCGGUUGGGGUUGGACGCGCGGCUUAUCAGCUUGUUGGCGGGGGAGUGGUUUGCCAAGUCAUUGACGGGUAGGCGGCAUGUGAGGGUGGACGGCCACAUUGGGACUGAGAGAGGGACCAGACUCCAACGGGAGGCAGCAGUGGGGAAUAUUGCACAAUGAGAGGAAGCCUGAUGCAGCAGCGCCGCGUGCGGGAUGACGGCCUUCGGGUUGUGAAACGCUUUCGCCUGUGACGAAGCGUGAGUGACGGUAAUGGGUAAAGAAGCACCGGCUAACUACGUG
rnacentral:rRNA from 1 species